UUACCUAAAUUAGUAAUAGCACUUUUAUUAUAAACGCUAUUUUUUCUUUAAAAAAAUAAUAAAAAAAUUGCAGGGUCUUUAUUAAUAGCGCUUUUUUCACGGGCGCUAUCAUAAGUUAGAAUUAAAUAAAAAUUAACUGAAUCUAUAAUAGCCCUUAAACGAUAAACGCUAUUAUACAUUGAAAAAAAUUGUAGGGCCUUUAUUAGCGCUUUACCAGAAGCGCUAUCUUUUAUUCAGAUAUAUAAUUAGCAAGAUUCGAACUCGAACUCAGGUUUGGACGGUAAUAUUUUUAGUUUGCACAUAUGAUAGCGCUUUACUUAAUGCGCUAUCUUAUAUUGAGAUAAUUGAGAUAGUUAAAUCAUAAAGAUAAAAUUUAUGCGUGUUGACCAGGUUCGAGCACGUUACCUUUGGGGUGCUGUACGCUUGUUUUUUCCACUGAGAUAUUCAACUUAUUUGUCAAAUGCGCUCAAAUGUAUUAAUAUAUAUUAUUUCAAUGUUAUUACAGGAAAAAAACAAAUUAAUUAAACCCCAAUUUCUUCGGUGAAAACAUUCCCUAAAACCAUUACCCGCUCACUUCAUAUUCUUUUUCACAAAAUUGCCCACGAGCUGCAUCUUCUGUAAACCCUAAACCCUGAAUCGAACCGUUAUCUUCUCUUAAUCAGUUUUCGUUUCCAUUUCAAUUGCAAAUCGACAACAAGUGGAGUAUUAGAAGGUCCUUCGGUUUUGUGUUGUGAGGAUAAUCGAACCUAACUCUUGCUUUGAAUCUAUGUCGAUUAAUCUACACGCUCUCUGUGUUUUCGUUCUUUAAAGAUUCAGCAACAAGAUUGUAACUUUUGCAGGCUCUUUGUUCUUCUAUCUACCUCCCUCUAGGAGCUUUGGUAAAAUCACUUCAAUAUUCUGACCUGUAUCUUUUCAGUCAAAAAUUGUACAACACACUUCUUACAAAUUAAAGUUAUGGAUCGGAAAUGGAUGUUUGCUAAUCAAACCUCAAAAGAAUACGAAGAUGGAGUGAAAGAGUUUGUUAGAUUUGCUGUUGCUCAUGCAAAAGACACUGUUGUUACAAUAUAUGUCAGUUCAUUACUCCGAACGGAUUAGUGAAUAAGUUCUCAUUCAUAUCUCCAUAUGUCUCAAGUGAUGAUAAAGAAGGAAAAAACAUAGCAAAAUUACUCUUGAUAAAUAAAGAGUUCAAGGAAAGGAUGAUUCUUGCCCCUUAUAAUUUUGGGAAUCAUUGGGUGUUGCUUGUCAUCAAUCUCAAUGCUGAGAUUAUAUAUUAUAUGAAUUCGGUGAAUGUUGAGCACGAUAACUAUCAUGAUUUAAAAAUGAAGUUUGAAAAUGCUUUGCACAUUUAUCGUGCCUCUGAUAAAGUUAAAGUGUCCAAGUCUAAAUCAAAUAAAAUCACAUGGACAAAAAUAAAAGUGUCCUUGUCAAACUAACAGUAUUGACUGUGGAUAUUUUGUCAUGCGAUUUAUGAAGGAGGUCAUCAUGGAAAAUCAAAAUAAAAUUCCUAUUACUUUCCCGCACGCAAAUGUGUUACUUAUUCUGAAAAUAAGUUAGCUGAAGUCAAAGAGGAUUGGGCUUCCUAUAUGCUAGAGGAUGUUAUUCGAAAACAAGUGGGAAAAUAUUUCAUGCCCUCGACGUUGGAUAACUUAUGAGUUUUUCUGGCUUAGUGUUUUUUUGGUGGUUCUAUGCUUCUUUUGUAAUGUGCAAGCCUUGCAUUUAUGUUGCCCUAUACUUCUUUUAAGUUGGUUGUAAUGUCUUUUGAUUAUAUAUAUAGAACUAAUUUGUGUCUAUAUAAUAUUUUUUAUUGAUACAAAUUAAGUAUCAUCUUUUAUAUGA